GUCUCGAUACAGUCGAUCAAAAAGGCUCCAACAAUACAAAGAGGCGUCGUGUUCAAAGGGACGAUUGAGAAGGAACGGGAACGAAAGCAAUGGACGAGUGAUAGGGGAAAACACGAAGGCUCGCAGGCACGACUUCGUUGCUCGACCGCGAGAAGGUUUAUCUCCGGGGUUCGACUAGACUGAAGAACGAAGGGAGAAGCAGCGGAUGCGCUCUCUUCGGUCGUCUGCUAGGUGCGAAGGAGACGAAUGGAUUGGCGACGUGUGCGAUUGUCUCUGGGGUUUGACAAAGCCGAAGUGACGGAGAAGCAGCGAAGCUGCUGCGGUCUCGGUGGGGGCAGCGAUGGGGCGAUCGGCGGUUGAGAAACGAGGUCGAUUGAAGGCAGUGGCAAGUUGGAUCGGUGAAUAGUGGUGGGGAGGUACAACUGAUCUCCAGGGAGUCCUCGUGAUUUCCAUUCUCGUCUUCAGCAGUAGAACACAAAGAAGGAGCAGGGCAUUUAGGUGAUGAUUCUUCAACAUGAAAUGAACGGGUUCAACAGAAUUCAAAGGAGGAACAAGAUGGAUGUUUGGCUUUGAUUUUCACAGGAUUCGAUAGGGCUGUUGCUGUUUUACAAGGGAAACAGGAAAACAGAUGAGGGAAAGGGGUCUUUUUGGCUGAUGAGGUUCAACAGGAAAAGGGAAAGGAUGGGACUGUCUUGGCCAGCGACUGUCACCAGUCCUCUUCCUUAUGUGGCCGACGAUCAAGAGGAACGGGAAGGAGUUCUCAAGGGUGAGCAACGAGAAAAGGUGGUACAAAAUCGGAUUCAUAAAGAUAUCUGUUGUAAACUCAAAUGCAUUGUAUUUUUAAUUAUUUAUUUUGUGAUGAAAUCUCCGAUUCUCGAUUUAGGUGCCAUCAAAUCGUUUCUUGAAAUUUUUCUGAAAAUGUCUGUCGAUUGUUUUGGUCGUUGUGAUUCUAAAAAUGCAGACAUAUUUCAAUUACGAUA